UUAAGCGACUAAGCGUACACGGUGGAUGCCCUGGCAGUCAGAGGCGAUGAAGGACGUGCUAAUCUGCGAUAAGCGUCGGUAAGGUGAUAUGAACCGUUAUAACCGGCGAUUUCCGAAUGGGGAAACCCAGUGUGAUUCGUCACACUAUCAUUAACUGAAUCCAUAGGUUAAUGAGGCGAACCGGGGAACUGAAACAUCUAAGUACCCCGAGGAAAAGAAAUCAACCGAGAUUCCCCAGUAGCGGCGAGCGAACGGGGAGCAGCCCAGAGCCUGAAUCAGUGUGUGUGUUAGUGGAAGCGUCUGGAAAGGCGUGCGAUACAGGGUGACAGCCCCGUACACAAAAAUGCACAUAUUGUGAGCUCGAUGAGUAGGGCGGGACACGUGGUAUCCUGUCUGAAUAUGGGGGGACCAUCCUCCAAGGCUAAAUACUCCUGACUGACCGAUAGUGAACCAGUACCGUGAGGGAAAGGCGAAAAGAACCCGGCGAGGGAGUGAAAAAGAACCUGAAACCGUGUACGUACAAGCAGUGGGAGCACGCUUAGGCGUGUGACUGCGUACCUUUUGUAUAAUGGGUCAGCGACUUAUAUUCUGUAGCAAGGUUAACCGAAUAGGGGAGCCGAAGGGAAACCGAGUCUUAACUGGGCGUUAAGUUGCAGGGUAUAGACCCGAAACCCGGUGAUCUAGCCAUGGGCAGGUUGAAGGUUGGGUAACACUAACUGGAGGACCGAACCGACUAAUGUUGAAAAAUUAGCGGAUGACUUGUGGCUGGGGGUGAAAGGCCAAUCAAACCGGGAGAUAGCUGGUUCUCCCCGAAAGCUAUUUAGGUAGCGCCUCGUGAAUUCAUCUCCGGGGGUAGAGCACUGUUUCGGCAAGGGGGUCAUCCCGACUUACCAACCCGAUGCAAACUGCGAAUACCGGAGAAUGUUAUCACGGGAGACACACGGCGGGUGCUAACGUCCGUCGUGAAGAGGGAAACAACCCAGACCGCCAGCUAAGGUCCCAAAGUCAUGGUUAAGUGGGAAACGAUGUGGGAAGGCCCAGACAGCCAGGAUGUUGGCUUAGAAGCAGCCAUCAUUUAAAGAAAGCGUAAUAGCUCACUGGUCGAGUCGGCCUGCGCGGAAGAUGUAACGGGGCUAAACCAUGCACCGAAGCUGCGGCAGCGACACUAUGUGUUGUUGGGUAGGGGAGCGUUCUGUAAGCCUGUGAAGGUGUACUGUGAGGUAUGCUGGAGGUAUCAGAAGUGCGAAUGCUGACAUAAGUAACGAUAAAGCGGGUGAAAAGCCCGCUCGCCGGAAGACCAAGGGUUCCUGUCCAACGUUAAUCGGGGCAGGGUGAGUCGACUCCUAAGGCGAGGCCGAAAGGCGUAGUCGAUGGGAAACAGGUUAAUAUUCCUGUACUUGGUGUUACUGCGAAGGGGGGACGGAGAAGGCUAUGUUGGCCGGGCGACGGUUGUCCCGGUUUAAGCGUGUAGGCUGGUUUUCCAGGCAAAUCCGGAAAACUAAGGCUGAGGCGUGAUGACGAGGCACUACGGUGCUGAAGCAACAAAUGCCCUGCUUCCAGGAAAAGCCUCUAAGCAUCAGGUAACAUCAAAUCGUACCCCAAACCGACACAGGUGGUCAGGUAGAGAAUACCAAGGCGCUUGAGAGAACUCGGGUGAAGGAACUAGGCAAAAUGGUGCCGUAACUUCGGGAGAAGGCACGCUGAUAUGUAGGUGAAGUCCCUCGCGGAUGGAGCUGAAAUCAGUCGAAGAUACCAGCUGGCUGCAACUGUUUAUUAAAAACACAGCACUGUGCAAACACGAAAGUGGACGUAUACGGUGUGACGCCUGCCCGGUGCCGGAAGGUUAAUUGAUGGGGUCAGCGCAAGCGAAGCUCUUGAUCGAAGCCCCGGUAAACGGCGGCCGUAACUAUAACGGUCCUAAGGUAGCGAAAUUCCUUGUCGGGUAAGUUCCGACCUGCACGAAUGGCGUAAUGAUGGCCAGGCUGUCUCCACCCGAGACUCAGUGAAAUUGAACUCGCUGUGAAGAUGCAGUGUACCCGCGGCAAGACGGAAAGACCCGUGAACCUUUACUAUAGCUUGACACUGAACAUUGAGCCUUGAUGUGUAGGAUAGGUGGGAGGCUUUGAAGUGUGGACGCCAGUCUGCAUGGAGCCGACCUUGAAAUACCACCCUUUAAUGUUUGAUGUUCUAACGUUGACCCGUAAUCCGGGUUGCGGACAGUGUCUGGUGGGUAGUUUGACUGGGGCGGUCUCCUCCUAAAGAGUAACGGAGGAGCACGAAGGUUGGCUAAUCCUGGUCGGACAUCAGGAGGUUAGUGCAAUGGCAUAAGCCAGCUUGACUGCGAGCGUGACGGCGCGAGCAGGUGCGAAAGCAGGUCAUAGUGAUCCGGUGGUUCUGAAUGGAAGGGCCAUCGCUCAACGGAUAAAAGGUACUCCGGGGAUAACAGGCUGAUACCGCCCAAGAGUUCAUAUCGACGGCGGUGUUUGGCACCUCGAUGUCGGCUCAUCACAUCCUGGGGCUGAAGUAGGUCCCAAGGGUAUGGCUGUUCGCCAUUUAAAGUGGUACGCGAGCUGGGUUUAGAACGUCGUGAGACAGUUCGGUCCCUAUCUGCCGUGGGCGCUGGAGAACUGAGGGGGGCUGCUCCUAGUACGAGAGGACCGGAGUGGACGCAUCACUGGUGUUCGGGUUGUCAUGCCAAUGGCACUGCCCGGUAGCUAAAUGCGGAAGAGAUAAGUGCUGAAAGCAUCUAAGCACGAAACUUGCCCCGAGAUGAGUUCUCCCUGACUCCUUGAGAGUCCUGAAGGAACGUUGAAGACGACGACGUUGAUAGGCCGGGUGUGUAAGCGCAGCGAUGCGUUGAGCUAACCGGUACUAAUGAACCGUGAGGCUUAACCUU
rnacentral:rRNA from 1 species